rnacentral:rRNA from 1 species
ACCAUGGCUUCGGCUAUGGGGAGAGCGGCGAACGGGUGAGUAACACGUGAGCGAUCUGCCCUCGACACUGGGAUAGCCCGGGGAAACCCGGAUUAAUACCGGAUAGCCUCUCGGGUCUACGGGCUCGUGAGAAAAGAUGGCUUCGGCUUUCGGUUGAGGAGGAGCUUGCGGCGGAUUAGCUUGUUGGUGAGGUAACGGCUCACCAAGGCGACGAUCCGUGGCUGGUCUGAGAGGACGAUCAGCCACACUGGGACUGAGACACGGCCCAGACUCCUACGGGAGGCAGCAGUGGGGAAUCUUGCGCAAUGGGCGAAAGCCUGACGCAGCGACGCCGCGUGAGGGAAGAAGGCCUUCGGG